UUAUUAUUAAAUACAUAACAUAUUUAACAAGUAUAACAUGUUCAUUUGUAGGCUGUGAUUCCACAAGCGCCUUUGCUGGAAAAGGCAAAGUAAAGCCUUGGAAAUUGCUUUUAGAAAAUCCUGAGUUUUUAGAGUCUUUCUCGUUGCUUGGCCAAUCGUUUGAGAUUUCCGAAGAAGUUUCCACUCUUUGAAUAGAUUUGUCUGCCUGCUUUAUGGCGACAAAAAGGGAACUUGCGUCAAUGAUUCAAGGUACGCCUUGUUUGUGUCUGGGAAAUGUUCUGACGAUUGCCUCCCCCCUAACACAGACAGUCUGAUUGUGCACAUCGAGAGAUCAAACUAUCAAGCAUAUAUUUGGAACAAAUGCCUUCUGCCGAAAAUGAGACUCCAGCCCCCGUCUGGAAACGGAUGGCUCAUCAAAGACGACCAAUUGAAAGUACUAUGGAUGACUCGGCCGUCAGCACCUGACACCCUAAUUGAGGUCGUCACCUGCCAUUGUAAAACUGGGUGCAAAACCCUUAGAUGCUCAUGUUUGAAGUCUGGCUUUAAAUGUACCGACUUGUGUGGCUGCGCGGACUGCUGUAAUUUUGUUGCAGGAGAUGACGAUUUGUCAGAAGAUGAGAAUGAUGAUGAUGAUUGUGAUGAUAAAGACGAUGAGUACGAUAGUGAGGAAGAUUAAUAGAUUUACAGAUUUAUAGAUUAUCGCUUGAGGAAUAUGCGCGCAUCACAUCAAAUUUGUCGAUUCAGGUCGCACGUUUAGUAUAAUUAGUCAUAUAAUAAUAUAAUGUUAUGUAUUAUUUGCUCAUAUAAUUAGACCAUUUAAAAGGUCAUAUGAAUCUGCAUUGUAUUUGAACGAAAAUAGCUAGUAAGAAAAGGUCUUACUAGGACGCUUA